rnacentral:lncRNA from 1 species
AGAAACAGUUAUGGACAGAGUUUCAAUCUGUGCUUUGUGGGAAAUCCUUCACCAUGUACAACAACGUUCGUUCAAGGAAUGCUCAAAAUGCACUGCAGUCCUCAAACUGUGCAUUUGUCUACACAUGUGGUCGGUCUGUCACAUUAAACUUUUACCGGAACGCAGAUUCCUCCGUCGCCCACCUUUCGUGCUACAACUCCUACAUUGACUUAUUCCGAAAUAGAUAAGAGCCGUUGCCACAUUUUGUUGUGGAUAGCCGUGGCCUGACCACAACCCACCCACCGACACAACG